rnacentral:tRNA from 2 species
GCGGGUGUGGUGGAACGGCAGACACACUUGGUUUAGGUCCAAGCGCCGAAAGGCAUGGGGGUUCAAAUCCCUCCACCCGCACCA